rnacentral:rRNA from 1 species
GACGAACCGAGCGAACGUUGUUCGGAAUCACUGGGCUUAAAGGGCGCGUAGGCGGGCUGUCAAGUUUGGGGUGAAAUCUCACGGCUCAACCGUGGAACUGCCUCAAAUACUGACGGUCUCGAGGGAGAUAGGGGCGAGCGGAACUAAUGGUGGAGCGGUGAAAUGCGUUGAUAUCAUUAGGAACUCCGGUGGCGAAGGCGGCUCGCUGGAUCUCUUCUGACGCUGAGGCGCGAAAGCUAGGGGAGCAAAC